GUGACAUUGGCCAAUCACAAUGUCACAAUGCUUGUGAAAGAGAGAGAAACACAAGCAUUGUGGCAUUGUGAUUGGCCAAUGUCAC
rfam:Medicago truncatula strain A17 chromosome 4, whole genome shotgun sequence.